rnacentral:rRNA from 1 species
GACGAACGCUGGCGGCGUGCUUAACACAUGCAAGUCGAACGGAAAGGCCCUGCUUUUGUGGGGUGCUCGAGUGGCGAACGGGUGAGUAACACGUGAGUAACCUGCCCUUGACUUUGGGAUAACUUCAGGAAACUGGGGCUAAUACCGGAUAGGAGCUCCUGCUGCAUGGUGGGGGUUGGAAAGUUUCGGCGGUUGGGGAUGGACUCGCGGCUUAUCAGCUUGUUGGUGGGGUAGUGGCUUACCAAGGCUUUGACGGGUAGCCGGCCUGAGAGGGUGACCGGCCACAUGGGGACUGAGAGACGGCCCAGACUCCUACGGGAGGCAGCAGUGGGGAAUAUUGUACAAUGGGCGGAAGCCUGAUGCAGCAACGCCGCGUGCGGGAUGACGGCCUUCGGGUUGUAAACCGCUUUCGCCUGUGACGAAGCGUGAGUGACGGUAAUGGGUAAAGAAGCACCGGCUAACUACGUG